UACGUAGGGUGCGAGCGUUGUCCGGAAUUACUGGGCGUAAAGCGUGCGUAGGUGGUUUGUUAAGUCUGAUGUGAAAGCCCUGGGCUCAACCUGGGAAUUGCAUUGGAUACUGGCAGGCUAGAGUGCGGUAGAGGAUGGCGGAAUUCCCGGUGUAGCAGUGAAAUGCGUAGAGAUCGGGAGGAACAUCUGUGGCGAAGGCGGCCAUCUGGACCAGCACUGACACUGAGGCACGAAAGCGUGGGGAGCAAACAGG
rnacentral:rRNA from 1 species